GACGAACGCUGGCGGCGUGCUUAACACAUGCAAGUCGAACGGAAAGGCCCUGCUUUUGUGGGGUGCUCGAGUGGCGAACGGGUGAGUAACACGUGAGUAACCUGCCCUUGACUUUGGGAUAACUUCAGGAAACUGGGGCUAAUACCGGAUAGGAGCUCCUGCUGCAUGGUGGGGGUUGGAAAGUUUCGGCGGUUGGGGAUGGACUCGCGGCUUAUCAGCUUGUUGGUGGGGUAGUGGCUUACCAAGGCUUUGACGGGUAGCCGGCCUGAGAGGGUGACCGGCCACAUUGGGACUGAGGUACGGCCCAGACUUCUACGGGAGGCAGGAGUGGGGAAUAUUGCACAAUGGGCGGAAGCCUGAUGCAGCAACGCCGCGUGCGGGAUGACGGCCUUCGGGUUGUAAACCGCUUUCGCCUGUGACGAAGCGUGAGUGACGGUAAUGGGUAAAGAAGCACCGGCUAACUACGUG
rnacentral:rRNA from 1 species